GGGGAGUACGGCCGCAAGGCUAAAACUCAAAGGAAUUGACGGGGGCCCGCACAAGCGGCGGAGCAUGCGGAUUAAUUCGAUGCAACGCGAAGAACCUUACCAAGGCUUGACAUGUUCUCGAUCGCCACAGAGAUGUGGUUUCCCCUUUGGGGCGGGUUCACAGGUGGUGCAUGGUUGUCGUCAGCUCGUGUCGUGAGAUGUUGGGUUAAGUCCCGCAACGAGCGCAACCCUCGUUCCAUGUUGCCAGCGGGUUAUGCCGGGGACUCAUGGGAGACUGCCGGGGUCAACUCGGAGGAAGGUGGGGACGACGUCAAAUCAUCAUGCCCCUUAUGUCUUGGGCUUCACGCAUGCUACAAUGGCCGGUACAAUGGGUUGCGAUACUGUGAGGUGGAGCUAAUCCCAAAAAGCCGGUCUCAGUUCGGAUUGGGGUCUGCAACUCGACCCCAUGAAGUCGGAGUCGCUAGUAAUCGCAGAUCAGCAACGCUGCGGUGAAUACGUUCCCGGGCCUUGUACACACCCGCCCGUCAAGUCACGAAAGUCGGUAACACCCGAAGCCGGUGGCCCAACCC
rnacentral:rRNA from 1 species